CAUCAAAUUUAAAACUUCGUGUUAUCCUAUCCGCAAAUGAAAGUUUUAUUUUUUUUUAAAAAUUGAUAACAUGCUAUCGCUUCUUUCACUUAUUUUUUUCUUUUGAGAAAAGGUAGCAAGCUACCUGCUUCAUUCAAUAAUUAAAACAGUAAAUUAAUCAUACAAGAUGGAAGCAGCCAAGACCUCCUGAAAAAAAAGUAGAGUAACAGAGGAAAAAAAUAACAACAAAAAAAAAAAAAAAUAUAAAUUUAAUUAACAAUAUAAAAUAAUUAAAUUUAAAAUUUAAAAUCUCGAAUAUUAAUUAUUAAAUUUUUU
rnacentral:lncRNA from 1 species